rnacentral:rRNA from 1 species
UACGUAGGGGGCAAGCGUUGUCCGGAAUCAUUGGGCGUAAAGAGCGCGUAGGCGGUCCGGUAAGUCGGUUGUGAAAACUGGGGGCUCAACCCUCAGAGGCCGACCGAUACUGCCGGGCUAGAGUCCGGAAGAGGCGAGUGGAAUUCCUGGUGUAGCGGUGAAAUGCGCAGAUAUCAGGAGGAACACCAAUGGCGAAGGCAGCUCGCUGGGACGGUACUGACGCUGAGGUGCGAAAGCGUGGGGAGCAGACAGG